CCCCGCAUCCAACGGUCGUCUUCCCCUCCUCUCCACAACUCCCGCACCGCAUCUCUCUCUCUCUCUCUCUGCUCUCCGAUUCGAAUCCAUGGCCAACGGCGGCGGCGGCGGCGCUGCGGCGCCCACGCGGGGCCAGGUCUAUCUGCCCGAGUGGCGCCGCGCGUUCGACCGCCUGGUGAGGAUGUUGCGCCAGACGCACGCGCAGGCCGAGGCGCUCGCGGUCGAGCGCGCGCACCUCUUGACGGAGCUCGAGUUCCAGCGCUGCGGCCGGCGCGAGCGCGAGGACAUCUUCCAGGUCCGCAUCCAGAAGAUCUGGAGGGACGAAGCGCGCAGGAAGAGGGCCGAGAAGGCCGAGGUGGCGGAACAAAUUGGGAAGAAGGAGCUGGAGGCGAGCUGCUACCAGAAGAUGGCAGAACUGACAGAGAAUGACUUGGAGGAUUUCAGAAGUUUUAUAUCCACUUUGGCUGCUGAAAACACCGAACUGAAGAAAAAACUUAAGGAGGUUGAAAGUCAGGCAGAGCUUAGUGAAAACAAUGUCGAUCACCAGCACAGUGCAAAAGAUUUAAGGGCAGAGUUAAGGAAACUAAAGCAAGCUUACAAGACCCUGAGCUCAGAGAAGGACAAGGAAAUUUCUGCAUUACGUGCAGAAAGAAGUUUUGUGUGGAACCAGUUUAAGACAAUGGAGCAGGAAUACGGAGAGACGUGUAAGAAGAAGACCUUGGAGGCAAAGCAAGCUAUUGAAGCAGCACAAAAGCUUCAGCGGAAUGUAGGUGAGCUGCAAGUGGCAGCCCAAAAGAACGAUGAUGAAAUCGACAGACUGCGAGCAGAGGCGGUUAAUGCCAAAGAGAAGAUGUUGAUUCUUGAGGAUGAGCUACAAAGAUUGCGCUCCUUGGUCAAGGGUAAAGAUGUUGAAACUGAUAAACAUAAAGAUGAUCAACUUGAGACUAGUCGAAAGUGCAAGAAGAAUAUUAAUGAGACAAACAGAAAAUCCAAGUCUGAAGGUCCUGUUUUAAGGGGAAAAUCAAGAAAUUCCCAGGUCACACCAGUUAGGAGAGAUGUGAAGGCUUCCAGAAGGUGCACGCCAAGUGCAAAAGAGAUACAAAGUCAAUCAAGAGGGCAAUCUGAGGCUAGUCAAAAGCGCAAGCGUGGCUCUUCCACAUCAUAUGCCGCAUAAGUUGCAUCUUUCUGUAAAUAUGGACAAAGAAUAAGGUUGACGGAUUUAGAUGAGUAUUAAGCGAGCCAUAAGUUCUCAUAAAGGGACCGGCACACAUUCACUCACAAGAUAUUAGGUCUCCGGCGUUGUUCCUCAAGGCUGCAAGUUAGAACCACCGCGUCUCCCUCUCCCAUGCUCUUCACCCCCUGUUUCACGGUUCCAAGACUGAAGGUGUCAACUCCUCCCUAGCCUGAAGCCGCUGUAGCCUGAUAUCCUGACUUGUGCAAUUGUUCAUACACAACCCUGCUCGUACAGUAUUUAGGUGAGGCUAAGCUUAUCAGUUGCUGCUCAUGCACCUGGCUCCAACACGAAGCGGCAAUGGAUGGAUGAUUGAUUGUGCUUGUAACAUAAUUCGUUUCGCCUCCUUGUGAGUGUGCUUGCAAUGUAUGUGUUGGUGCUGUGCCAAUGUAUCAUUUCAUGUGUGUUGUUUAUGGAUUGGUUAUGGAAGACCCUGCUGGUAGAACCUAACCUCACAAUUGUUUGGUUGGUUUCUGAGGGCUUCUUGAGUUGUAUGUUGGUCACCAUUCGCCGUGUGUACUACUAUGAACGGAUACUGAAGAGUGUGUGGCCUUGUGCGUUCCUACUGGUAUGAAUUGAUCAGAAAUUCGUUGA